CCAAUCCAAUGGACAAGGAAAAAUUCCUUCCUCAUGAAGAGCAGAUUCCGGUGGUUCUUGUUCCUCAUCCUUGCCACACCUCUUUGACACUGGAAAUCCGCACAAUCCCAAGUUGCCACCAUAGGAAUCAUUCAGAAAGGUAUUAAAUUGAUUUCCCUGAGGUAUGAGUCCAACAAGCUGGUUCUGUGACAGGUUUAACACUUCAAGAAAUUUCAAACCAUUUAACUGCAUAGGAAUCUCCCCGACGAGCUUGUUGGUAGAGAGAUCCAGUGACUCAAGUGCUGUUAGCUUCCCCACUGAGGAAGGAAUAUGACCUGUUAGGCUGUUAUGGGAAAAAUUGAGCACUUGGAGAGAAAUGAGGUUUCCAACUAUUUCUGGAAUUUCUCCAUGGAAUUUGUUGCUUGACAUAUCAAUGGUUGUAAAAAGAGUUAGAAUUCUCUCAAGUACCAGGUCCAUACCUUUCAUUGUGACAAGCACGGAAAAAUGGUAAUAACGAUUCAAAUCUUCCAUAGAAGUCCGUUGAACAUUGGACAAAGUCAUCAUACCCCUGAAACUUUUAAAAUAUGUUGUUGGCAAAAGCCCAGAGAACUCAUUGUGGGAGAGGUCUAAGAUUCGCAGAGCUGAGAAGUGCGAUUCAUUUUCUGAAGGGCUUAUUUGACCAUGGAAAUAGUUGGAGCGCAAGACAAGAACUUGCAGCUGAGGAAGAGUUCCCAACCAGUGGGGAAAGGUACCGUUUAUCUUGUUGUUUCCAAGAUUUAACACUUGCAAAUCAUGACAGUUCUCCAAGGAUUUAGGAAACGGCCCAUCAAAAUCAUUGUUGUUGAGGUUAAGUAUCUGUAAUUUGUUUCCUACAACGAACGAAUCAGGGAUGUUUCCAUGAAAUUUAUUCAUGUGCAAAUCUAGGACCGUAAGAUUAGGCAUCUUACCUCUCGAGGCCAGACAAUCUGGAAUAGCUCCGCUCAACUCGUUAUUGGACAAGUCAAGAACUGAAAUUGAUAUCAAAUUACAUAUGGAAUAAGGAAUUUCUCCAACCAACUUGUUUUUUGAGAUUAAGAAAACUUCCAUCGAAGAAUUGGAAGAGAAAUUAGAUAAUGAGCAAUCAACUUUAAAGUUCAAGGACAAGAGGAGGAAACAAAGGACCAAAUACCACUGUAUUAACCCCUUCAUUUUUUUUUCUCAGAAAUGGUGAAAGAAGCAAAAUAGAAAACUGAAUGUGAAGGUUGAGAGAGAUAAGAAUGGAGACCGUAUUUAUACAUAUGAUUUCAAGCAAACAACCACCAGUCAUGUUCACACAUUCAAACAACCAUUUUUAUUACUGAUAUAGACUACAACCCGUGCUUUGCAUACAGACCUCUUUUUAUUUGUUUUUUUCUUUCUCUUUCUACCUCUUUUUUUUUUUUUUCUUCUCUUUUUCCUAUGCCUUUCACGUAGGUAAAGGAGGAAGCCCUAAGUAUGUUAUAAAUUUUUUAAAAGAAAAUUAUUUCAUAUAUUGUUAAUUUGUAAAUUUCAUUAACUAAAUUAAUUAGAUUGUCACAUACUUCAAUAUUAGAAUAUAUUUAAAAAAUUAAUAAUUUAAUAUCAUACAUAAAAAAAUAUGUAACGAUAUUUUAACUUUAAGUUGGAAACAUGGGAUUGUAGUUCUUUUUUUUUCAACCCCCAAUGAUUCAAGUAACCAAAAAACUUAUCGGGAUAUCAAGAGUAUUAUUUCAUAAAACCAAGACUUUCACUUGUCAUGUUUUUACCUUGGUAUGAACGUGGGACUCAAACCAAAGGACUAACAACAUGACUUUUAUGUCUUCUUAAAAAGCAUAAAAUUGAAGGCUAAUCUCUAAGAAUGAAACAGGUAAGAAUUGAACGUGAACGUAUCAUUGAUAUAAAAUAUAAAAAUAUUAUAUAAUUAUAUUAUUAUAUUAUAUCAAUCUAUCAUAUUUAAAGAUAAAGCUCUUUUAAUGGAUCUAAAAAAAUUUUUAAAUUUAUUUUAUAUUAUAUAAAAUUUUUAAUUUUUUUAUAAAUUCUUUUAAUAUCUUUUCUAAAAUAACUUUUAAUUUAAUAAUUAAUGUAAAUAAAAAAUAACAAAAUGAUUCCAUAUGCUUGACUCAAUUUAAAAGUUUUGUUUUAUUUUUUUUCAAUUUAUAUUUUAAUUAUUUAUAUUUACUUUUUUUCAUUUCUAUUAUAUUUAUUCAUAUGUUUUAAAUCUUUAUAAAUUUUCUUCCACAAAUUUCAACGAACAAUCAGUCAUAUUCUUUUUCCUUCUUUUUACUAUGUCAUAUGUGAGUUUAUCUUAUACUUGCCAUGUUUAUAUUUUUUCUAUUAUGUGAAUUUUAUUUUUAUGAUUUUAGUCUUUAAAUAUUAAUAAAUUAUUAUAUAAUUUUCAAAUAUAAGUUGCAAUAUUGUACUAUUGUUUAAAAUUUUAUCAAUAUAUCAUUUUUUAUUCAGAAUAACCGAUACGCUCUAACAUGUAUGUUUCAUACUUUAAGUAACAAGGAUAUAUAUACAAAUUAAUAAAAUUAAAUGAUCGUAUUUCUUUCAAUACAAUUUAUUUAUUAUAUAUAUUUUUAAUGACCCUCAAAAUAAUUUUUUAUUUAAUAAUUAUUUUUAUUCCUCAAAUUAUUUGAUAAUAUUACAGUCAUUAUGGUCAAUAUUUCACUAGUUAAUCCCAACAAAUAAAAUAUUCUAACAUAAUAUGUUAAGCCUAUCAAGUUUUAAAGAAAAAAUAAAUUGACUCUACUAACCUAAACCCAUUAAAUUUUAAUAAAAAUCUAAACAUAUCAUAACAUAUUAUAUCUUAACAGUCCAACCCAAUAGCUUAUCAUAACAUAUUAUAUUUCAAUAGUUCAACUCAAUAACUUAGUAUGUUAAUUAACAAUUUAAGAGGUAAAUAAAAAAUAAAAAAAAAGAGCUUUUUUAAAAAGUUAUUCAUUUUGUAUAAAACACACAAAGUAAAGAGACAUUUGAAUUUGAAAAUUUGUUUUCUCUUCCACUUUUGGGCACAGAGAGUGAAAAAGACUCAUUUCAUAAUUUCAUUCCGUUUAUAUAUAUAUAACGCCAUUAUUACUAUUAAUGUGUAUUUUUUUAUAUAUCCAAUGUUUUAUGAAUUUUAUUUAAUCUUUUAGAUGAGUGAAAAUUAAAUGGUAUAUAAAGUUCUCUGUGACUGUUUAAUGUCUCUUUCUAUUUGAUUCUCUUUAAAAUGCUUUAACUUCGUCAUUGAUCACGUCAUCAUAAUUAUGAUAUAUUAACAUGCUAUGUCAACGUUACGUGAUAUAAAAUGAUAAUUAAUAUUUUGAUUAAAUCAAUCUUUAAUUAUAAUUUUUUUAAGGUUUGGCAGAUGAGAAUUAGGCCACGUCUCUUAACCAUCCAGUUUGCUAAAGGUUGCAAAUUAUUAUAGCCAACUUACCGGUUUAGAUCAUUAUUGGACUCUCCUCAUGUUUCUUCGAAAGUUUUUUUGUUAAAUAGAGACUCUGGUCAAUUGUUAGUAUUGAAUCGCUUUCUUAAUUGAAUUUUUUGAUUAAUUGUCAGUGUUGAAUCACUUUCUUAAUUGAAUUUUACAUAGAAAAUUCAUUCUUUCUUCGAUAUUUCAAAAAAAUAAUCAUAAUUUUUUUUCUUGUUUGAUUAUUAAAUGAAACCAAUUUCUUUUCUAUCUGUCCCCAAAGGUCCCACAACCUUCAUACUCAAUUUUAAAUAUAAAAAUUGAUUGAUUGAUGAAAUUAAUGUAUUUGAUAAUUUUUUCUCUAAUUAAUUUUAAACAGUAACCUUUUUGUUAGAAAAAAUAUAUAGAAAAAAAAAAGAAUGGAUGAAAAAAGAAGAAAAGGCCCAAAACAUCUUUCACCACCAAAAAGCCCAAAACCACUUUCAAUCAAACAACGUUAAAGUCCAGAAACACAAGUAAUGACACGAGUUCGGCUUAAGGUUUAUCCAAAACGACAUACAGUUUUCAUAUCUCUGUCUCCAUUGAUCGUGAAACAAUGGAGGGACGGAUAAAAUACCCUAAAAUUCAAAGAGUAGACUACCAGUCCAAAUUCUUCUCUUAGGUAUUUUUAAUUUUUUUCUUCUCUUGUUAAAAUGUGUUUGGUUGCCUAGAAAACAAAGGAAAAGGAACUAGAAAGCUUGUAAUUCUGUUUCUUUUAUGUUUUUCUAUUUGGCUUUUUGAUAAAACAUUUGGGUUUUGCUAGAAUUGUUAAAUAAAUAAAUAACAUUAACGGAGAUAACUAUGAUAAAGAGAACGAAUUUUUUUUUUUACUGUUGACAAAUGGUGUUAAUAAUAAAAAAAACUAAAAUAUCAUUUUGAAACAAGAAAAAUUAAAGUGUCUUUUCAAAAUGUUUUAACGGGUUUUUUGAGUUUUACCCUUUGGAGAUCUUGAUUUUGUUACGAGAUACUUCAUUGAUCAAAAUUUUCUCUUUUGCUUGGUUAUUAAAUGGAGCCAAUUUCUCUUCUUUCUGUUACCAAAACAACCACAGCCCUUUCACUCAAUUUUAAAGAUACAAAUUGAUUGAUUGAUGAAAUUAAUGUGCUUGAUAAUUUUUUUUUCCUCAAAUUAAUUUAAACUGUAACGCUUCUGUUAAAAAAUAUAUAAAAGAUUACAAAAAUAAAAAAUUGGAUAAAAAGGGGGAAAAGGCCCAAAAUCCCUUUUAUAGUUUUAUUUAUAUACCAAAACAAAAGGCCUAAUAUGCCUCUGACGAUUUUCUUAAAGUAAAUGACAAAAUCCUUUAAGUGAUCUUUGAUGUCUUACAAUUUGAAGUGAAUCAAAUUUGCAAUUGAAUUUGACUAUUGUGAUCCGCUCAUUCAAGUAACCAAAAAACUUAAUCAGGAUUUUAAGAGUACUAUUUCUCACAAGCACAUUAGACAGCAUCUGUAGAAUCCAAUUACUUUGCGUCUGUAGCAAGCAGUGUUUUGCGUGAAGAAAAUUAUGGCGUACUCUUUGGGGCCGGGGUCCUCAAAGCUCAUAAGACCAAGACCUUUGCCUACCACUUUUCCACCCCUGCGUGAAGGUGGGACUUAAACCAAGGACUUACAACAUGACUUUGGCCUGCCACUUUUCCACCCCUGCGUGACAGUGGGACUCAAACCAAAGCACUAACAGCAUGACUCUGAAAUGUUCUCCUAAACAGCGUAGUAGUGGAGGCUAACUAUUGAGAAUGGAGCUGACAAGAAUUGGACAGGUCGUUGAUGCUAAUACUCUUUGAAUGAGAAUAAUAUGGAGAUUCUCUUUCAUCUUCACCAAAAUACUGAAUAUCAAUUUGAUAAAAUCAAUGUGUUAUCCAGGGCAACAAGAGAUUGGAUUUUAUAGGGCAUUAUAAGGCAUACAGGAGAACAAAAGACAGUUAUAAUACGCAAAUGUAUUCAACAAACCAACGAAGAGCAGCAUCUGUCUUCGCAGAGUUUCUUCUUCCUCAAUUAUAACUCUUCAAUCUCCUCAGAAUUUUGUAGCCUAGUCUUUGAACCAUCCUAACUAGCCAUUCUGGUUUUCCAAUUGUCAGCAUGAUAUACCCUGUAGAUAAUCCAAGCACCAGUCCACAUCCAUAACCCAUCAUUACAAAUUUCCAAUCCAAUGGACAAGAAUAAAUUCCUUCCUCAUGGAAAGCAGAUUCCGGUGGUUCUUGUUCCUCAUCCUUGCCACAGCUCUUUGACACUGGAAAUCCGCACAAUCCCAAGUUGCCACGAUAGGAAUCAUUCAGAAAGGUAUUAAAUUGAUUUCCCUGAGGUAUGAGUCCAACAAGCUGGUUCUGUGACAGGUUUAACACUUCAAGAAAUAUCAAACCAAUCAACUGCAUAGGAAUCUGCCCAACAAGCUUGUUGGUAGAAAGAUCCAGUGACUCAAGUGCUGUUAGAUUUCCCAGUGAGGAAGGAAUAU
rnacentral:lncRNA from 1 species